rnacentral:lncRNA from 10 species
CUUGGGGCCGCGAGUGGGAGCGGGAGCGGUUCUGCGGCCUCCUCGGGCUUCUUGGCCCUGGGCGGAGUGGGAUUGGGUGUCCCGGCUGUUCGCAGUGGCCGCGAGUGCGGCCGGACCUGGAGUAGUACCUGAGCCGCUCUGGCCGAGCAAGGCGCGGGGCCCCGGUCUACACCGCGCUGGACCCGGCUAUGCCGUGACGGAAUUCCCGAGGCCGUAGCGCCACGCGAGACGCGCACUGGUGGCCUCCGCGGCGAGUCCUGGGGUCUCCGCAAGGCCUCAGUGCCCGAGCUGGGGACGUGCUGGGGGGAGGCCCGGCCCCGUCGCUGCCCGAGGCCCCGCUGUCCCGGCCGGACCGGCCUGGUCCCUGGCGUCCUGUCGGGUCCGCGCUGGAGGAGAGUCCCAGACAGCAGAGCCCGCGGUGCAGCUCCAGCCCCGGGAAGCCCCGCGCUCAACAGGUUAAUACUACACAGCGGCGAUUCUAAUGGUCACGCUUUUAUUUACAGCUCGCCUCCCUUCCGCCAAGAUUCACAGAACACGGCAGAGUGGCCUCGGGAUCACCUGCCCAAGACACCUGCACGACCGGAAGUUGGGAGAAGAAAUUAAGGCCAUGAUGAUGAACGCAGCCUUUCUCGUUUAUUUCCAAUCCCACAACAAACCGGAGUCCAGGAACUCAUGGGAGGCCGAGGUGGGCGGAUUGCCUGAGUUCAGGAGUUCGAGACCAGCCUGGGCGACACGGUGAAACCCCGUCCCUACUAAAAUACAAAAAAUUAGCCGGGCGUGGCGGCACGCGCCUGUAGUCCCAGCUACUCAGGAGGCUGAGGCAGGAGAAUGGCUUGAACUCGGGUGGGGGAGGUUGCAAUGAGCCGAGAUCGCGCCGCUGCACUCCAGCCUGGGCGACAGAGCGAGACUCUGUCUCUGAAAAAAAACAAAACAAAACGAGAAGGCUUUCAAAAUUACUCUGCGGUACACUAAUUUAACAGAUUAGAUCACUUUCCAGGCUUUAAGUUGGCCUUUGUUCUACCCUUUUUUUAGUGUAUGAUAAAAGUUGUGUUGGUUCGUUGAUCAGCAUGCAAUGAACUCUGGCUCUUGUUAAUCAGGUGACUACAGUUUUGUCCUUACAUUUGUAUGUAUGUCAUGAGUGGUUUUGUAUGGGCAGGAGGUAAACAACGCACAUUUAAAUAUACUUAAUGAUUUAUCAUUCCAAUGUUUUCUGGUUGUUUUAGUCUUUCAUUUGUCUCUUGAACAAUCUGAAACAUCCCUAUUCUAAGGCUAAAAAAUUUCCUUUACAAACUUAGGUUAAACAUUCCUAAUCUGAAAUCCAAAAUGCUCUAAAAUUCGAAUUUUUUUGAGUACUGACGUGACCCCACAAAUGGAAAAUUCCACACUUGCCCUCAUGUGACACUGGGUGACAGUCAAGUCACAAUCAAGCCUGGUGUGGUGGGCACCUGUAGUGCCAGCUACUCGGGAGGUUGAGCAGGAGGAUUGCUUGAGCCCAGGAGUUUGAGUCCAGCCUGGACGAUAUAGCCAGACCCUGUCUGUAAAAAAACAAAAACCAAAACAAAAAAAACAAUGAAAACAUUUUUUUUUAAAACGCCAUCAAAACUUUGUUUCAUGCACAAAAUUAUUUAAAAUAUAUAAUAUAACCUUACCUUCAGGCUAUGUGGGUAAGGUAAGGUGUAUGUGAAACAAAUGAAUUUCCCAUUUAGACUUGGGUCCCAUCCCCAAGAUAUCUUAUUAUGUAUAUGCAAAUAUUCCAAAUCAAAAAUAUCUGAAAUACUUUUGUCCCAAGCAUUUCAGAUAAAGGUUACUCAACCUGUAAUAAAAACACUCAGUGCUUGCCUGAAGGAAAAACCAAGAAUUUGUCAUCCAUCCUUAAAUUUUUAUGACACCCUUUGUAAUCAGGAAACCUUUUAAUACCUAAGAAUAUAUUUGAUAUAUUCUGGUAUAUGUUUAUCAUUCUGAUGUUUAAUGUUCUAUGUUGGGCAUAUAUCAGUGUAAUAAAUACAUUAGAUCCAAAUAC